UACAGAAGUCUCGAGCGUUAGGCGGAAUCACUGGGCUUAAAGCGUGUGUAGGCGGAUCGGUAAGUACCUUGUGAAAUCCCACAGCUUAACUGUGGAACUGCUUGGUAUACUGCCGGUCUUGAGCCAGCUAGGGGCUACCGGAACAAAUGGUGGAGCGGUGAAAUGCGUAGAUAUCAUUUGGAACGCCAAUGGUGAAAACAGGUAGCUGGGGCUGUGCUGACGCUGAGACACGAAAGCCAGGGGAGCAAACGGG
rnacentral:rRNA from 1 species